rnacentral:rRNA from 1 species
GAUGAACGCUGGCGGCGUGCCUAAUACAUGCAAGUCGAGCGAACGGACGAGAAGCUUGCUUCUCUGAUGUUAGCGGCGGACGGGUGAGUAACACGUGGAUAACCUACCUAUAAGACUGGGAUAACUUUGGGAAACCGGAGCUAAUACCGGAUAAUAUUUUGAACCGCAUGGUUCAAAAGUGAAAGACGGUCUUGCUGUCACUUAUAGAUGGAUCAGCGCUGCAUUAGCUAGUUGGUAAGGUAACGGCUUACCAAGGCAACGAUGCAUAGCCGACCUGAGAGGGUGAUCGGCCACACUGGAACUGAGACACGGUCCAGACUCCUACGGGAGGCAGCAGUAGGGAAUCUUCCGCAAUGGGCGAAAGCCUGACGGAGCAACGCCGCGUGAGUGAUGAAGGUCUUCGGAUCGUAAAACUCUGUUAUUAGGGAAGAACAUAUGUGUAAGUAACUGUGCACAUCUUGACGGUACCUAAUCAGAAAGCCACGGCUAACUACGUG